CUUAUAUCACAAGAUUGAAAAGACAUGUAGAAUAAAAGGAGAGCAUUGGAGAUGUCCACUUCUGCCUCUGUAAGAUAGAUAUUGAAGGCUGCAUGGCUUAGAAAAUAUCUAUAAAAAUUAGAUAUUCAAGAACCAAGGAAACAAAUACAAGAAAUCAAGAGCACAGCAUAUUUUCUUUCAUCAAUCCACAGAUCCCUGAAACUCUUCUUACUCCAUCAAACACAGAGGAAAGCCCACAUUGACAGAUGGCCACAGAGGAUGUCAACAAUUUUUUGGAG